rnacentral:rRNA from 1 species
GUCGAACGGUAACAGGGAUUAGCUUGCUAAUCUGCUGACGAGUGGCGGACGGGUGAGUAAUGCUUGGGAAUCUGGCUUAUGGAGGGGGAUAACUACGGGAAACUGUAGCUAAUACCGCGUAAAAUCUUCGGAUUAAAGGGUGGGACUUUCGGGCCACCUGCCAUAAGAUGAGCCCAAGUGGGAUUAGGUAGUUGGUUAGGUAAAGGCUGACCAAGCCGACGAUCUCUAGCUGGUCUGAGAGGAUGACCAGCCACACUGGAACUGAGACACGGUCCAGACUCCUACGGGAGGCAGCAGUGGGGAAUAUUGCACAAUGGGGGGAACCCUGAUGCAGCCAUGCCGCGUGAAUGAAGAAGGCCUUCGGGUUGUAAAGUUCUUUCGGUGACGAGGAAGGUUGGUAGGUUAAUAGCCUAUCAAAUUGACGUUAAUCACAGAAGAAGCGCCGGCUAACUCCGUGCCAGCAGCCGCGGUAAUACGGGGGGUGCGAGCGUUAAUCGGAAUAACUGGGCGUAAAGGGCACG